AGAGCUUGCUCUUAUGAAGUUAGCGGCGGACGGGUGAGUAACACGUGGGUAACCUGCCCAUAAGACUGGGAUAACUCCGGGAAACCGGGGCUAAUACCGGAUAACAUUUUGAACCGCAUGGUUCGAAAUUGAAAGGCGGCUUCGGCUGUCACUUAUGGAUGGACCCGCGUCGCAUUAGCUAGUUGGUGAGGUAACGGCUCACCAAGGCAACGAUGCGUAGCCGACCUGAGAGGGUGAUCGGCCACACUGGGACUGAGACACGGCCCAGACUCCUACGGGAGGCAGCAGUAGGGAAUCUUCCGCAAUGGACGAAAGUCUGACGGAGCAACGCCGCGUGAGUGAUGAAGGCUUUCGGGUCGUAAAACUCUGUUGUUAGGGAAGAACAAGUGCUAGUUGAAUAAGCUGGCACCUUGACGGUACCUAACCAGAAAGCCACGGCUAACUACGUGCCAGCAGCCGCGGUAAUACGUAGGUGGCAAGCGUUAUCCGGAAUUAUUGGGCGUAAAGCGCGCGCAGGUGGUUUCUUAAGUCUGAUGUGAAAGCCCACGGCUCAACCGUGGAGGGUCAUUGGAAACUGGGAGACUUGAGUGCAGAAGAGGAAAGUGGAAUUCCAUGUGUAG
rnacentral:rRNA from 1 species